rnacentral:rRNA from 1 species
UACGUAGGGUCCGAGCGUUGUCCGGAAUUAUUGGGCGUAAAGGGCUCGUAGGCGGUCCGUCACGUCGGGAGUGAAAACUCGGAGCUCAACUCCGAGCCUGCUUCCGAUACGGGCAGACUAGAGGUAGGCAGGGGAGAGCGGAACUCCUGGUGUAGCGGUGGAAUGCGCAGAUAUCAGGAAGAACACCCGUGGCGAAAGCGGCUCUCUGGGACGGUACUGACGCUGAGACGCGAAAGCGUGGGGAGCGAACAGG